GUGCUUACUUCGACAGCACAUAUAUUACAAUUGGAAUGAUAUAGAGAAGACUAGCCUGGCCCCUGUGCAAGGAUGACAUGCAAAUUUGUGAAGUGUUCCAUAUUAAA
ensembl:snRNA RNU6-939P RNA, U6 small nuclear 939, pseudogene